rnacentral:rRNA from 1 species
GACGAAGGAUGCAAGCGUUAUCCGGAUUCAUUGGGUUUAAAGGGAGCGUAGGUGGCCUUAUAAGUCAGUGGUGAAAUCUCUGGGCUUAACCCAGAAAUUGCCAUUGAUACUGUAGGGCUUGAGUAUAGUUCCGUUGGCGGAAUAUGACAUGUAGUGGUGAAAUACAUAGAGAUGUCAUAGAACACCGAUUGCGAAGGCAGCUGACGAAACUAUAACUGACACUGAGGCUCGAAAGUGCGGGGGAUCAAACAGG